rnacentral:rRNA from 1 species
UACGAAGGGGGCUAGCGUUGUUCGGAAUUACUGGGCGUAAAGCGCGCGCAGGCGGCUAUCCAAGUCAGUGGUGAAAGCCCGGAGCUCAACUCCGGAACUGCCAUUGAAACUGUUUAGCUUGAGGACGAGAGAGGUGAGUGGAAUUCCCAGUGUAGAGGUGAAAUUCGUAGAUAUUCGGAAGAACACCAGUGGCGAAGGCGACUUACUGGACACAUAUUGACGCUGAGGUGCGAAAGCGUGGGGAGCAAACAGG